CCUUUUGUUUUGUUUCAACUGGUGGAAGCACUGGCAUAGUUCAUAUGCUUAUACCAUCUGUUUUAUUUAUUGUGGGGUCACCCAAAAUUCUAAGCGCCAACCGUAAUUCAUACAUUCACACUACGUAUUUCUUAAACAAUGUCAUGCUGUGAAUCACCCAAACUCACCAACCAUCGCCACUCUGAUAAACUCUGAACUUCUCUCCCUUUCUUCCUUCACAUUGUAGAUUAGGUUCCUUCAUUUUCAUGGCUCUUAAGGCCGUAUCCAUCUGGGGUUAUUCCAAAGUUCCUCCUCCUCAAUUGGGUGCUGGUCUUGCCAAUUCUCAUCCUACUCCGAUUUGGAAUCAAAGAUAUGAUUUUGACAAAUGUCGCAGGUGGGAAUGCUGUUGUUUGGGUGUUUCGGCUCAGAGAGCUACCACUGCUGUUGAAGAUGAGGAGCCCAAUGUCCCCCCUUUGGUCGAGUCUUCUGGGGCUGCUGAUGGUGUUCACCAAAAUGAGUCAAAGGGCUUUCACAAGGACAUAAACCAGCUUCCUAAGCCAUUAACAACAAUUGACAUUUCUUCUUCUUCUUCAAGUAAUGGAUCAAAGGUUCGCGUGGCUUUUCAGGGACUUCCAGGGGCAUACAGUGAGGAUGCAGCUUUGAAAGCAUAUCCAAAAUGCGAGACUGUGCCGUGUGACAAUUUUGAAUCUGCAUUUAAGGCAGUUGAGUUAUGGUUAGUGGAUAAAGCUGUUCUGCCCAUUGAAAAUUCUGUUGCUGGAAGCAUCCACCGUAAUUAUGAGUUACUUCUUCGCCAUAGGCUGCACAUUGUUGGGGAGGUUCAGUUGCGUGUUAAUCACUGCCUUUUAGGAUUGCCUGGUGUGAGAAAGGAGGACCUCAAAGUUGUUGUGAGUCAUCCCCAGGCGUUAGAUCAAUGUGAGAAAAUGCUUAAUGAUUUAGGUGUUGUCAAGAUUGGUGCACGUGAUACUGCUGAUGCUGCUCAGACAGUGGCUUCAAAUUGUGCAAGAGACACAGGAGCUAUUGCAAGUUCCCGAGCUGCAAAAGUAUAUGGGCUCGACAUACUGACAGAAAGAAUUCAGGAUGAUGAUGAGAACAUUACUCGUUUCUUGGUCCUUGCAAGGGAUCCUAUAAUUCCAGGAACUGACAAGCCACAUAAGACUAGCAUUGUUUUCAGUCUAGAAGAAGGUCCUGGUGUACUGUUCAAAGCCUUGGCAGUUUUUGCUAUGAGGGAUAUUAAUUUGUCAAAGAUAGAGAGCUGUCCGCUGAAGCAGCGUCCAUUAAGGGUUGUGGAUGAUUCAAAUCAAGGGAAUUCCAAUUCAAAUGCAGAAAGGAAAAGGUUCUCAGGCGCGGUUUAGUUUUUACUUUAUGAAUAUGAUCAACGAUACUGGUAUUUUGCAUACGUGUGAAUGGUUUUAGGCAUAAAACUUCUCUGGUAGCAGGUACUUUGACUACCUCUUCUACACUGACAUUGAAGCUUCUAUGGCAGAACCUCGUGCACAAUAUGCUUUAGGACAGUUGCAGGAAUUUGCUAGUUUUCUUCGAGUUCUUGGUUGUUAUCCUAUGGAUACAGUGUUAUAGGAGUUCAGUGUUGUUCAUCAGAGGUAGAUUUAUAAUCAGAGACACGGUGGAGGAAGUAUCCAUGAAAAGCAUUGCCCCUUUCAUUUCUUUCAAAAUUCUUUGCAUCUCCUAAGGAGGUGAUUUGGAGUAUAUUAUCAUAGUUUUGACAGUGGAGUGAAUGCUGGCAAUGCCAACUUUGCCUCCAAAGUAUAUAAAUAAAUGACUCUAUUGAAUUAUUGUGGCAAAUUAAUGAAUGACCCAGCCACCCAAAGUUUUCUUCUUCCA